rnacentral:rRNA from 1 species
CGCACGGGUGAGUAACACGUAUGCAACCUACCUGUAACAGUUGGAUAACCAGUCGAAAGGCUGACUAAUACGGCAUAAGGAAGCGGUUCCGCAUGGGACAGCGUCUAAAGAUUUAUCGGUUACAGAUGGGCAUGCGGUCCAUUAGGCAGUUGGAGGGGUAACGGCCCACCAAACCGACGAUGGAUAGGGGUUCUGAGAGGAAGGUCCCCCACAUUGGUACUGAGACACGGACCAAACUCCUACGGGAGGCAGCAGUGAGGAAUAUUGGUCAAUGGGCGAGAGCCUGAACCAGCCAAAUCGCGUGAAGGAUGAAGGUAUUAUGUAUUGUAAACUUCUUUUAUCGGGGAAUAAAGUGCGCCACGAGUGGUGUUUUGUAAGUACCCGAAGAAUAAGGAUCGGCUAACUCCGUGCCAGCAGCCGCGGUAAUACGGAGGAUCCAAGCGUUAUCCGGAUUUAUUGGGUUUAAAGGGUGCGUAGGCGGACUGUCAAGUCAGCGGUGAAAGUUCCCGGCUUAACCGGGGAAUUGCCAUUGAAACUGGUAGUCUUGAGUGUAGAUGAGGUAGGCGGAAUUCGUAGUGUAGCGGUGAAAUGCUUAGAUAUUACGAAGAACACCAAUUGCGUAGGCAGCUUACCAAGCUACAACUGACGCUGAGGCACGAAGGUGCGGGGAUCAAACAGGAUUAGAUACCCUGGUAGUCCGCACAGUAAACGAUGAAUACUAACUGUUUGCGAUAAAAUGUAAGUGGUACAGCGAAAGCGUUAAGUAUUCCACCUGGGGAGUACGCCGGCAACGGUGAAACUCAAAGGAAUUGACGGGGGCCCGCACAAGCGGAGGAACAUGUGGUUUAAUUCGAUGAUACGCGAGGAACCUUACCCGGGCUUGAAUUGCAGACGAAUG